rnacentral:rRNA from 1 species
GUGCCAGCCGCCGCGGUAAGACAGAGGGUGCAAACGUUGUUCGGAAUUACUGGGCGUAAAGCGCGUGUAGGCGGCUGCGCAAGUCGGAUGUGAAAUCCCGUGGCUCAACCACGGAAGUGCACCCGAAACUGCGUAGCUUAAAUCUCGGAGAGGAAGGUGGAAUGCUUGGUGUAGAGGUGAAAUUCGUAGAUAUCAAGCGGAACACCGGUGGCGAAGGCGGCCUUCUGGACGAUGACUGACGCUGAGACGCGAAAGAGUGGGGAGCAAACAGGAUUAGAAACCCCCGUAGUCC